AUUGAACGCUGGCGGCAGGCCUAACACAUGCAAGUCGAACGAGUGGCGGACGGGUGAGUAAUGUCUGGGAAACUGCCUGAUGGAGGGGGAUAACUACUGGAAACGGUAGCUAAUACCGCAUACCAUCGGAUGUGCCCAGAUGGGAUUAGCUAGUAGGUGGGGUAAAGGCUCACCUAGGCGACGAUCCCUAGCUGGUCUGAGAGGAUGACCAGCCACACUGGAAUGGAGACACGGCCCAGCCUCCUAGGGGGGGCAGCGGUGGGAAAUAUUGAACAAGGGGCGAAAGCCGGAGGCAGCCAUGCCGGGUGUAUGAAGAAGGCCUUGGGGUUGUAAGUUACUUUAAGCGGGGAGACGUUACCCGAAGAAGAGCACCGGCUAACUCCGUGCCAGCAGCCGCGGUAAUUC
rnacentral:rRNA from 1 species